GUGGUUCAACUACAACUGGAUACUUGUUCUUUGGCAUCCGCACAAGUGUUGGCUGGACAGAGUCAUCUUUCUCCAGAGGUCUCCACCUGUUAUAUAAGAACCAGAAUGGCAGUGUCAGAGAUUUAUCUUCAAAAGGGGAAAGAUGAUGGAUAAAGACACAGAUUUCCAGUUUGGCCAGGUUGAUCCCGGGGCACAUACGAGGUCCACUGCCAAAUCCAAGAAAGCUGAAAGGCCUUAGGGGUGCCUGAAAUUGAUUUGAAAAUUUAUUUACUCAUUCUGCAUGCGGAAGGAAGCCAAAUGCACUGAUGAUAAUAAAUAUGAGAGAUUCUUACACCGAAUCUGGUGGGAUCAAACUUUUGGGGAUCAGGAAAAACUUCUGGAUCAUGGUGAAUUGAGACAACAUCCAAGUUGAUGGACCAGCCUUUCUUGAUUUUAUAUCCUGCAAUAUUGAGAUAGAAUCAGUAUCACUGUUUGCAUCUGCUGUUAGAAAUGUCAGCUCUUACUAUGUAAUUUGUGGACUUCAUACCAUCAAUUUCAAAGUCCUGAGCAGCUUUUCUUGAAAACCAAGGUAAAAUAGUGGCUCUUCGAAGAGUUUCACUGAUUACCUGCACUUUCAUGAUAAGACCCAAUAAUUCAGAUCUGGAAAAAUGUCAGUAGGUGGCAUACUUUGACUCUAUGUCAAUUUGUUCUUACUUUGUUUGUGUAAGGCAUGGUAUUAACUUCAGACCAUGUAAGGGUUGCUCCAUCUGUUCUCUUUGCUUGGAUUUGUAUAUGCUCCUCCUGCAAGUUCAGGAUUAGAUUGCAGUUAGGUGAUCAGCACAAACUAUAAUUUGUUUCCACCAUAGCUCUGAAGCUAACAUUACUCGAAGUUGUUCCAGAACUCGAGGAUUUUCAUCAAGGAAUUUGAUGAGCCAUGUGAGAGCAGCCGUUGUGGUAUCAUGACCUGCAACUAGCAGAGUUAAUAUGUUAUCCUUCAAUUGUUUGUCACUGUAUAUGCCAGAUGGACUAGAAAACUCAGACAAGAAUGAGAAGCUUUCACCUACAAUAGGCCACCCCAAGCUUCCUGGGAGAUCCUCCAUUUCUUUUGGUGAAAUCCAUAAAUGCAGCAAGAGGAAAGUCGAGAGCAGAAGAAUGCUUAAGAGGGCAAAGAUCAGUAAUAUCCCAAGCUCCAUUGCUGGUGUUCCUGAUUGCUAGACAGCACUGAAUGUGGAGGCAACAAUAAUGGCAUGUCAAAUAUAUACUGACAUGAAGAAAUCAGCUUGUAAAUUCUCUGUUGCUUGCCAAUGCCAUCUUUGUCGUCACUAUUAUUCGCGGCUGCACCUGAUAUUUUGGAGUUCAUGGCAAAAUCCAAGAAUUUGUGUUAGUUUCUCCAACUCCAAGUGCGGCUGGCCUGCGUUAUCAUGUAGUUAUUAACGUCAGGUUUGCUAUGUAUCUCAUUUAAAUUUGUUUUCCAAUAAAAGUUAAAUCAUUGUGUAUUA